UACGUAGGGUGCAAGCGUUGUCCGGAAUUAUUGGGCGUAAAGAGCUCGUAGGCGGUCUGUCGCGUCUGCUGUGAAAACCUGGGGCUUAACCCCGGGCCUGCAGUGGGUACGGGCAGACUAGAGUGCGGUAGGGGAGACUGGAAUUCCUGGUGUAGCGGUGAAAUGCGCAGAUAUCGGGAAGAACACCCGUGGCGAAGGCGGUUCUCUGGGCCGAUACUGACGCUGAGGAGCGAAAGCGUGGGGAGCGAACAGG
rnacentral:rRNA from 1 species